UCCCCAAUAGCUCAGCAGGUAGAGCACGUGACUGUUAAUCACUAGGUCAUUGGUUCAAAUCCAAUUUGGGGAG
rnacentral:tRNA from 1 species